GAUGAACGCUAGCGGCAGGCCUAAUACAUGCAAGUCGAACGGUAAGUAGAGUAGCAAUACUCUACCAAGAGUGACGCACGGGUGCGUAACACGUAUGCAACCUACCCUUUACAGAUGUAUAGCUCGGGGAAACUCGAAUUAACCCUUCAUAGUAUAGAUGAAUGGCAUCAUUUAUUUAUUAAAUCUGCGGAGGUAAAGGA
rnacentral:rRNA from 1 species